GAGUGAGUGGCGAACUGGUGAGUAACACGUGGGAAACCUGCCCAGAAGCGGGGGAUAACACCUGGAAACAGAUGCUAAUACCGCAUAACAACUUGGACCGCAUGGUCCGAGCUUGAAAGAUGGCUUCGGCUAUCACUUUUGGAUGGUCCCGCGGCGUAUUAGCUAGAUGGUGGGGUAACGGCUCACCAUGGCAAUGAUACGUAGCCGACCUGAGAGGGUAAUCGGCCACAUUGGGACUGAGACACGGCCCAAACUCCUACGGGAGGCAGCAGUAGGGAAUCUUCCACAAUGGACGAAAGUCUGAUGGAGCAACGCCGCGUGAGUGAAGAAGGGUUUCGGCUCGUAAAACUCUGUUGUUAAAGAAGAACAUAUCUGAGAGUAACUGUUCAGGUAUUGACGGUAUUUAACCAGAAAGCCACGGCUAACUACGUGCCAGCAGCCGCGGUAAUACGUAGGUGGCAAGCGUUGUCCGGAUUUAUUGGGCGUAAAGCGAGCGCAGGCGGUUUUUUAAGUCUGAUGUGAAAGCCUUCGGCUCAACCGAAGAAGUGCAUCGGAAACUGGGAAACUUGAGUGCAGAAGAGGACAGUGGAACUCCAUGUGUAGCGGUGAAAUGCGUAGAUAUAUGGAAGAACACCAGUGGCGAAGGCGGCUGUCUGGUCUGUAACUGACGCUGAGGCUCGAAAGUAUGGGUAGCAAACAGGAUUAGAUACCCUGGUAGUCCAUACCGUAAACGAUGAAUGCUAAGUGUUGGAGGGUUUCCGCCCUUCAGUGCUGCAGCUAACGCAUUAAGCAUUCCGCCUGGGGAGUACGGCCGCAAGGCUGAAACUCAAAGGAAUUGACGGGGGCCCGCACAAGCGGUGGAGCAUGUGGUUUAAUUCGAAGCUACGCGAAGAACCUUACCAGGUCUUGACAUACUAUGCAAAUCUAAGAGAUUAGACGUUCCCUUCGGGGACAUGGAUACAGGUGGUGCAUGGUUGUCGUCAGCUCGUGUCGUGAGAUGUUGGGUUAAGUCCCGCAACGAGCGCAACCCUUAUUAUCAGUUGCCAGCAUUAAGUUGGGCACUCUGGUGAGACUGCCGGUGACAAACCGGAGGAAGGUGGGGAUGACGUCAAAUCAUCAUGCCCCUUAUGACCUGGGCUACACACGUGCUACAAUGGAUGGUACAACGAGUUGCGAACUCGCGAGAGUAAGCUAAUCUCUUAAAGCCAUUCUCAGUUCGGAUUGUAGGCUGCAACUCGCCUACAUGAAGUCGGAAUCGCUAGUAAUCGCGGAUCAGCAUGCCGCGGUGAAUACGUUCCCGGGCCUUGUACACACCGCCCGUCACGCCAUGAGAGUUUGUAACACCCAAAGUCG
rnacentral:rRNA from 2 species